CAAACCCGCGUGAGCACACACACACCCCACCCGCAGCCCCAGCCCAGGGUACCUCAGUGUGUCGUUCCCAUAGCAACCGAGAUCCCCGAUGCCCAGAUCGUCCGCCAUGAUCAGCAGAAUAUUUGGUUUAAAGGCGGGACCUGCUUUGGAUGCGCAAGUCGGCAGAAGCAAACACACAUUCUACCACAUGGUCACGUGGAAUCUGUGCUGACCAAAAGCCUAGGGCAGAGGAGAGGGGACUGCGCGGCCUUAAGACUAACCCCGAGGCCGAGGCGUUCCCAUUGCGGCUCAGAGGGCUGAGAGAUGACGUUUCAGAGCCAUGGCCUGGAGCUGUUUGGCAGACACUGAAAGACUGAAGACGUUACCUGCAUGCUGCCCACCUGCACGGAGAUCCCGGACCCACUGGAACCAGAAGGUGGGUGGCGCUGACUCCUCCCCACCCGGCCAUCAGAAGAGAGUCCCUGAGCUGAUCACAUCCCCCACACCCUCUCUUCUGCAUGGUACCCUUUUCCUCUUUUCCUUGUAUCAUCUCCUAGCAAAACUUGGGGAGUGGAGGGUUGGGACAUGAGUCUACCUUCUCCCCAGGACUGCCGGCUUCCUCAAUAAAGCCGUCUUUCCUUUCAUCCCA